rnacentral:rRNA from 1 species
UACAGAGGUCCCGAGCGUUGUUCGGAUUCAUUGGGCGUAAAGGGUGCGUAGGCGGCGGGGUAAGUCUGAUGUGAAAUCCCGGAGCUCAACUCCGGAACUGCAUUGGAUACUGCCUUGCUAGAGUACUGGAGAGGAAACUGGAAUUUACGGUGUAGCAGUGAAAUGCGUAGAGAUCGUAAGGAAGACCAGUGGCGAAGGCGAGUUUCUGGACAGUAACUGACCGCUGGAGGCACGAAGGCCAGGGGAGCAAACGGG